ensembl:snoRNA SNORA66 Small nucleolar RNA SNORA66
GUACAAACUAUCGCUAGCUCUGCAUGGGGGCAGAGCUAAGGGAACCUGGUUUGCUAGAGUAAUUGCAAGAACAGGAAUGUAUUAGCCUCACAAGUUCCUGCCAUGGUUCAUUCUAUCCUAGCAUAGUG